rnacentral:tRNA from 1 species
CAGAAAAUAGUUUAUAAAAACACUAUCUUUGGAAGAUAAAAUACAACAUUGGUUGUUUUCUGA